rnacentral:lncRNA from 7 species
GAGUGUUCAUACUGAAUAGGAAAAACGCAGCUUAAAUUUUCAUUUAACCAAAGAAAGCGAUAGAGAGCUUGUUGUAAAAGCAAGAGGAACAGAUCUGGUAGAAGAAAAUCCCUGUCAAUCCCAGCUUCAAGAUCCAGAGGACUCCAAGAAACUUCACUUUCAAACUGGAAAGCACCAAAAAAACCCCUCUUCAUUUAAUUGAAGCAAGUUUUGAAAUAGGACCAAAAUGCUUGAGGAAUAACAACAAAAGAAGAAUAGUAGCCCAAAUGAAAGCAACAAGAGUCUGUUCUCUAUUGUAAAAUUAUGUAGGCAGAAAGCCUCAGGACACUGGUGUUUUAAUGAACUUAUCCAUUCAGAUUUCUGAUGGACACGAAGGUUUACUGCUACAAGAAAGACAGUGGAAUAAGAUCCCCUUCGUUGUGUUCAAAUUGGCGUUGGAUUUUUGCUUUGAAAGCUUCAGACAACGCUGCUGUUACUAGGAAAAAAAAGCACAUUUUGGCUUGUAAACUAAGCAAAAGUGAUAUGGAAGUCAUUGAGAGGAAACAAAAAGUCAAAGCUGUCAAAGUCACUUUCACAGUCCUCAUGCUGACUUUGACCAUAUUUUGCGGCCUGGCCCUUGCUGCUUUUGGGCGAGAUGUAGCAGCCCUCACUCAUAGCCCUGCUUGCUCAGCCGCAUGACAAUACCAUUGCCAUCAAUUAAACCACCCAUAAGAGUUCAGAGGUUUGAGCUGAGCUACUCAGAGCAGACACAUGCACAAUGCCCUGUGUACUGGGUAGGCCAGUUAAUUAAACAGCUAUUUUUAAAUAUGGCUCUGGAAAGAAGUUUGCUGUCCAAAAUAAGAAACUAAUAUUGCACAACUACUUUCUGCUUGAAAAAUCCAGUGGUUAAAACAAGUUUUUUUGCAUAAUUUUUGCCCUCCGGGGACAGUUCUCACUUCUGAAAAGCAAAUUCCCUUCUUUCUGUUUUGCACAUGUACGUACAAACAGAUCUGGGAAUGUCCAAAGCUGGUGUAUCUUGAAUAUAAUAAUACAUUAAAUAGAGCGAUAGGUGCAAAUUUUUUCUCAGUGUACGUCCUCCUCAUGCCUUCCUUCUUGCACUGCUGGAAGUUU